GGAGGGUGCAAGCGUUAAUCGGAAUUACUGGGCGUAAAGCGCACGCAGGCGGUUGGAUAAGUUAGAUGUGAAAGCCCCGGGCUCAACCUGGGAAUUGCAUUUAAAACUGUCCAGCUAGAGUCUUGUAGAGGGGGGUAGAAUUCCAGGUGUAGCGGUGAAAUGCGUAGAGAUCUGGAGGAAUACCGGUGGCGAAGGCGGCCCCCUGGACAAAGACUGGCGCUCAGGUGCGAAAGCGUGGGGAGCAAACAGGAUUAGAUACCCUGGUAGUCCACGCCGUAAACGAUGUCGAUUUGGAGGCUGUGUCCUUGAGACGUGGCUUCCGGARCUAACGCGUUAAAUCGACCGCCUGGGGAGUACGGCC
rnacentral:rRNA from 1 species